AGCAGCAUAACAAAGCUGCAAUAACAGGGCUGGAAGUAUUUUCCAUUUCCCAAAUACUCCAGAGAAAUGUAAUGUUUUUGUCUAUAGGUGGUGCUGCUUGAGCCUGGAAAAAAGAGACGCGUAUCUCCAUAGCCUUGUGGUCCCCAGAUGGUGUUUCCCUGGGCGGUGUAAGACCAGCUCUGAGUCCCCAUAAGCAAGUCUGGUUUGGGAUCUCAGUGUCUGGGGACUCUAAAACAUCACAGUAGGAACAAAGCUCAGCUGUUUGGUGCUGGGCUUUAGACCUCUUGAUGUUAUUUGCGGUUAAAUGUAAACUCGUAAAGCAAAAGCAGUGAAGUGGAGUUGUCAUGAGUGCAAUGCUAACAGCUUCCCAAGGCUGUAGCACAGAAGUCUCUUCCCUCCGAUUUGUUUGGGAUUGGACAUUUUAGUUGUCUGUGCCCAUCGUUUCAGUGCAAGAAUUCAAAUCAGUUAGUCCUUUUUCACAGUGCUUUUUGGGGGGCAGUGACUGAGGAGCAAAACCGAUCAUUCGUGUUGUCCCAUUCCAAUUUUAUAUUUCUCAUUUUCUAAUUUUGACCUUGGAAAUGCACAGUGCUAUAAAACACUGUUUUCUUAAGAAAAGCAAGAGAGGAUGAAGCUAGAAGACUGGGUCAGAUACAGCAGUCAGACAAACAGCAGUUUUAUGUCAGAAAACAUUAUAAUAAUUGUGGAAUAUACAAUUGCUGUGCUGACAAAACCGAAAAAGUGCUUUUCAUCUAAACAAAUUUGUUUGAUUUAUUGUGUUUUAUAUGUAUGUUUUAUUUAAUAUUUCCACCCUCCUUAAACACCCGGUGACUUUCCAAGAGAGUUGGAGAACUACAAGGCUGUGGUUUUGGCAUCGCCGAUGACCUCAUUACUGAUCAGAAAACAUCUGGGUAAGCAGAGCAGUGUGUGUGUGCGUUCCGAAAGCUGUGGAUGGAUUAGCAAGCCUUGUCUGCACGGGCCACCGCAUUGUGCAUCUCCCUUGGAAAAAGUCCUGUGACUUUGUUCCUGAAGGAUGCCAAAGUGAUUAAACUGAUAUUCAAACUCUUUGGAUCGCAUCACCCACAACUGAAAUGCAGCCAUCUCUGGGGUGAAAUAUUGCAGCUGUUUAACAACGUUCAACAGCACUGUAUAACGGCUUUGGAAAUGAAGAAUACCUUAUUCAAAUGAAAACGGGGACAUUUAGAGUUGUGCUAAAGCUGUUGAUGCCAUUAGACUUUCAUCAUAAGUCUACUGCUCCUGAAUUAAACAGACAGGACUUGAAACGUGAACUGCAUCCGUCAAUCUCGGUGUAACAAUACGUUUAGCUCGGGCACAUCAUCAGCGUUGAAAGAAAACGUUUGUCAAAGCUAAAAUACAAGCAUCUCUGUGCUUAUUGAUGUGCAAUUACAUCCAAACACGUGCACCAGGACUGCGCUCUUUCUCGUUAUCCAGUUGUCAGAGAUGAUCAAAAUAUCACGCCUAUGGAUUUCUUCAGUACGUGUGCAGUAAACCUUUCACUGAGCUUUCUCUAGCUGGAGCUAUCACGUGAAGGAGUACCAUGGAAGCAUCAGUCCUCAUCAGAUGGACAAAUUCCCCUUUACUGAUUUAUAAUUUUACCAAUACCUCAUCAGGCUUCUUGGGUUUAAUGUCUUGUUGAACAGACUCCUGACUGCCUAAAGUGAUAGGAUGAGAGGAAAUGGCCUCAAGUUACAUCAGGGCAGAUCCAGACUGGACAUCAGGAGAAAUUUCUUUACUGAAAGCAUUCUCAGAGACUGCCCAAGAAGGUGGUGGAGAUCCCAUUCCUGGACGGGUUU